rnacentral:misc_RNA from 1 species
GUGGGAAAAAAAGAUAUGGAUCUCAUUUCUUCUUCACUCUACCUUUUCUUCUUCUUCUUCUUACUUUCGCUAAAGCUGUUCUUCUUCAAAGCACCCAAAACUCCCAACUUCCCUCCUUCACCCCCAAAGCUUCCCCUCAUUGGCAACCUUCAUCAAUUAGGUGCCUUACCACACCAAUCCCUGGCAGCUCUUUCCCAAAAACAUGGCCCUUUAAUGUUCCUCAAGCUAGGCCAAGUUCCCGUCCUUGUAAUUUCCUCAGCCAAAAUGGCUGAACAAGUCAUGAAAAUUCAUGACCUCAAAUUCUCCAACAGACCCCAAACUACCGCUGCAAGAACGUUGCUUUAUGGAUGCCAAGAUGUGGGUUUUGCCCCAUAUGGUGAGUACUGGAGACAAGCAAGAAAAAUUUGUGCUCUUGAGCUUUUUAGUGUCAAAAGAGUUGAGUCUUUUCAGUAUGUUAGAGAUGAAGAAAUUGAUGUUCUUAUUAAUAGGAUUCGUAAGAGUUGUGUUAAUAAUGGUGGGAGUGGGAGUGAGGGUGUGGAUCUUGGACUCUUGUUUUUUCAAACCUCCAAUAAUAUUGUUUCAAGAUGUGUUUUGGGAGAGAAAUUUGAGGAUGAAAAUGGAAAA